CCAUUAUUUAUUUCUGUUUGAGUUGUGGUGAUCCAGCUGUGUCAGAUUAGUACUUACAAAUUGUCUGGCCAGCACUAUUCAUUUUUUUCAAGAUUUAGUUGUUGUUGUGAACAUUCUUUGUCUCGUACAGAUGUUCCCGGCUGUUGAGGUUGUUGAAUUACUUGAUUGAAUCAUUUGGAAAAAGACCCCCUGUGAGCUUGCGUACAAAUACACUAAAAUUAAAACCACAUUAACUCAAUUUCUUGAUGUAUGUACAUGGCACCGAAGAUUUUAUAGUUAUCUCUGCUGUAAAUUCAUCACUGCCUUAUUAAGCAUUCUCUCUCUUUAUCUUGCUUGUGGGGUUUGCACACCCGUAGAAGGGAUCUUGUUGCUGCUCUUAUUCCAAGGGGUGUUAGUCUGGAUCCGAUAGGAAAAUGGUCAAAGGUAUGAUUAGUUGUGUACGACUCAACUAUUUUGUUUGGUGCCACUGUUGAAUAUAUGGCAGGACAUUACAUGAAACAAGGUGAAAGUUCAUUUUUUACCAUUGAAGGCUCUUGCUCCUCAGGAGAAGGAGCGAACAGUUGAUACGGCGUAAGGUUUCCACCCACUCUGAUAAUCCCUUUGCAAUAAUUCAUUUGUCUAAGUAAUAUAUAACUGUGUUUGCAUGUAUGUAAGCCUUCAUAUGCUAUGCGAGCGAUGAUUACAACGAAGGCAUGACUGCGGGCGACGAAGGAGGGCACGGCCGGGUGUGGUAGCCGUCGGAGGAGACGAAGGGAGAGACGAGGAGAGGAGAGCGGAAUGCUGAGACCGUGGGCCGCAAAGGAAUCCUGCGCGGCGGCUGGGCGCGAUCUGGAGAAGCGCAAUAUUUCGCCAAUAGGUUUAGAGACGAGGAUCCGGAGAAAUAUUAUGCUCAGUCGUCCUAUUGUAUUAACC